UACGUAGGGGGCUAGCGUUGUCCGGAUUUAUUGGGCGUAAAGAGCGUGUAGGCGGCCAGGUAGGUCUGCUGUGAAAACUCGAGGCUCAACCUCGAGACGCCGGUUGAAACCGUAAAGCUAGAGUCCGGAAGAGGAGAGUGGAAUUCCUGGUGUAGCGGUGAAAUGCGCAGAUAUCAGGAAGAACACCCGUGGCGAAGGCGGCUCUCUGGGACGGUACUGACGCUGAGACGCGAAAGCGUGGGGAGCAAACAGG
rnacentral:rRNA from 1 species